ensembl:lncRNA uncharacterized LOC114457880
CGAACUCUGCCUCACGUGAUUCAGCAUUUCGAAAGACGCCGUUGCCAUGUGAGAUGAAAGACCUGUGGUGAUAGUUACCAACAGCUUUGCCGACGAGUUCCAUUUACUGGACGUUUGCUAAACGUGUUACAGUUCACUCUUAUCACUCAUAUCUCUAGUUUUCACUUAUUUACAUUAACCUCUGCGAUAUUGUCGCAUUUUGUCACAUUCGUUAGUAAAUAAAUAGUUCCAAAAUGAAAAUCAACGGAAUUGAGAAAGUUUCACAUAGCCCCGUGAACACCUCCCACAGCAAUGUGUCCCGCCCUCUGUAUCCGAUACGAGAAGAACAGCAGCACAGGGAUGGCAGAAAGCACCACAAAGAGACGCAGACAGUUCUGGGCAGAGUCUUAAAGAAAGAACCGAACUGGGAGGAUGGGAGCGAAGAAUUCAGAGACAGACGUUGUUUCAACGAGAGGAAACGCAAGAGAGACGUGGCUGAUGGUGUUACUGACAUGAUGCCUGCUCCCAAAAGGAGUCUAAACACUGACGGCGAGGACAAGCCUGAGCUAGGAGCACUGUCUGUGCAACCAGCGCCACCUCAGGACACAGAGAGCGUAGCAUUCGUCUCUGUUGGCUGUCAGACUGUUCAACAGUGUUUCAAUCCCAUCAAAAUUGAACCUCCAGAUGAGCCAGUGAUGGGUGACGUCACUCCUCCAGACGGCGAGGACAAGCCUGAGCUAGGAGCGCUGUCUGUGCAACCAGCGCCACCUCAGGACACAGAGAGCGUAGCAUUCGUCUCUGUUGGCUGUCAGACUGUUCAACAGUGUUUCAAACCCAUCAAAAUUGAACCUCCAGAUGAGCCAGUGAUGGGUGACGUCACUCCUCCAGUGAGGUGUUGGAGCAGAAACCGUCUGUAGGAGAUUUUUCAGAUCACCCCGGUCCAGUCCAUGGCCUGGAAAACCACAAUGGCCUCCUUCACAUGUGUUGAGGGG